GUGGGGAAUCUUGCGCAAUGGGGGCAACCCUGACGCAGCGACGCCGCGUGCGGGACGAAGGCCUUCGGGUCGUAAACCGCUUUCAGCAGGGACGAGGCCGAGAGGUGACGGUACCUGCAGAAGAAGCCCCGGCUAACUACGUGCCAGCAGCCGCGGUAAUACGUAGGGGGCGAGCGUUAUCCGGAUUCAUUGGGCGUAAAGCGCUCGUAGGCUGCCCGCUAGGUCCGGGGUCAAAUCCGGGGGCUCAACCCCCGCACGCCCCGGAUACCGGCGGGCUUGAGUCGGGUAGGGGAAGGCGGAAUUCCAGGUGUAGCGGUGGAAUGCGCAGAUAUCUGGAAGAACACCGGUGGCGAAGGCGGCCUUCUGGGCCUCGACUGACGCUGAGGAGCGAAAGCUGGGGGAGCGAACAGGAUUAGAAACCCUAGUAGUCC
rnacentral:rRNA from 1 species